AAUGCUGGGAUACUGAAGGUCCGCCCAGCGCUGCCUGCGGGUUUAGCAAUCUUUCGGUUUAGAAAGUGGAUUGUUUUGUGCCUUUGCUGUCUUAUCUGGACCCUCUGAAUUGGCAAACUGAGAACAGGGAAGGCACAGCUAAUUGGGCAAGCAUGAAGAACCCAGGAGGCAGACCUACACCUCAAGUUUCUGUGAUGUCCUUUCAGGAACAGGGAAACUUGGACACUCAGCUAUACACAGAAGAGAAGCCCACAUGAGGAUGGAAACAGAGCUUGGAAUUACGCAGCUAUGAGCCAAGGAACACCAAGGAAUGCCAGCAACCACCAGAAGCCAGGAAGAGGCAAAGAUUCUUCCCUAAAUCCUUCAGAGGAAGCAUGGCAUUUCCAAUACCUUGAUUUUGGACUUCUAUAACUGUUUUUCUGUAACUAUGAGGAAAUAAAUUUCUGUUGUUUUAAGCCACCCAGAUUACGGUACUCCAUAACAAUAGUCAUAGGAAACCAGUGCACUUGCUAUUUAAAGAUGACUUUCAGCUGUGUUUUCCAGUUUUAUGGGGCUGGUCCUCAUAGCCCAUGUUGUCAUUUAGGACCAUGGCAUUAAACUUCCUUCAAAUCCUACCUCUUUACCCUGCCAGGCCAGGAAUCUCAUGGUGGAACAAGGUUUGGUGAACAAGGUUUGUUGUCAUGGAAGGCCUCUAGUAUGACUGGAGAGUUCAGCCCACAUCUUUUCUGGGUUUUGAGAAUUAAGAUUUUUCUCUUUCAGGACCAAGAACACAUAAAUAACUUACCUCAAAUUCUUUCAUAAUUUACUAGUAUUAGAGGCAGGUAUGGUAGCUGGCUGAGUAGAAGACUAAGCAUUGAAAUUUUUACCAAGUCCAAACUCACUGCAUGACAGGCCAGUAAAUUAGGAGACAAGUUGUUGGGACAAGAAAUAACUUUAUUAGGACAGCCAGCAGAAGAAGAUGGCAGACUGAUGUUCUAGAGAACCAUCUUAGGCCAGUCAAAAUUCAGGCUUCUUUUAUGCUAAAUAAGACAGGGGGUUGGGGUGGGGGAGGUGGUGCUGCAAAUUCUUGGUGCAGGAAUUGUUUGUUUUUGCAGCUGUCCACAUAGGUCAGGAUGUUUCUGUAAACCUCCAACAAAACAAUGUUAUUCUCUGUAUAUGAAUGGAAAAGUGCUACACUCUUAAAGGUCAGAGCCUUGAGAAUAGGCCAUCCUGUAUAUUUCAUUCUAUAGGGAAUAUUCUUAAAGCAAAAGCAAUAGAAUGUAACAGUUAAAGUAAAAGAAACAGAUCUAAUAUGGAGUCAUAUUUGUUUUCCUCUAUUACAGAAUAAGUAGUCAAUAUUUUGAGUGUAGGGAAACCACUGGAUCAGUGGCUACACUUUAGAGUCACUGAGAUUUUUAACAAACACCAAUGUCUAGGUCCUACCUGCAGAGAUUAGAGUAAGAAAAAUCCCAGGAAUUUGUAUUUUUUAAAAAAGUCUCCAGUAUUCAGCAUUGAAAAUGUGUAUAAGGUAAUGACCUGGGUUAUAAGAAAUGGGAUCUAUGAUGGAUCCAUUCAACUUCUUACCAGGUCUUAUAGAAAGUUAUUAAUUUAUUCUAUGGAUAAUUAUACCUAGUUCCUGAGUAUCAGAGUUCUCUCAAAACUUCCUUUUGUGCUUUAUAUCUAACACCAAGCUUUGUCCCAAACUCUUCCUUCUCUGUCCUCCAUACCCAAUCAGUUAUCUCCACAGUUUCUUUAUGUCUUCAGAUGCAGCUGACUUUAGACUGCCAGGAAAAGACAUAAUUCUUCUGAUGCUGAGAAACAUAGUCAUAGUGAAGAAGUGGGACAGGAACUGUUUGUAUUAGUGAAUCCAGAACUGGCUGGAGCCUCUUUGACCUUAAGUUGGAGUAGGGUAAGGGUCUUGUGGGUUCUAAGGAUGCCUAGUGGGCUGAUGCUGUGUCUCAGAAACUAGACUUCUGGGAACUCCCUUGUGGUGGAGUGGGUUAAGGAUCUCGCAUUGUCACUGCAGGGCUUGGAUCACUGCUGUGGCACAGAUUCAAUCCUGCCUGGGGAACUACCACAUGCUGCAGGUGCAGCUGAAAAAUAAAAACAAAAAGCUAGACUAAUGCCUUCCAAGUAAACACUUAUUUAUCCUACCUUACAACUUGUACUGAUGGAGGCUGGCUGAAACCAUGCAGAUAUGCAUGAUAUGCUGGGCCAGAUCCUAUGGGUAAAUCAAGAUAAUGUCAAAUAGAUUCUUUACAGACUGUUGGAGGGAGACCAGUCUAUUGUAUUAUUCCCAAUGCCAUUAUACUCAUAACAACAGUAAGUCAGAAGGUAACUUGGAUUCAAUUUAGUUUGUGUGGAUUUCGAUGAAGUACUUUCACUGAUUUACCAGUCGUAAUGAGAGGUGUAUCUCAAUGCAAAAUUUAGGACAUGAGGGAGACGGGAUUAAGAUAGAAUAGAAGGACUAGAGCUCACCUUCUCUCAUAAAAAUAACAAAAUUACAACCAA